rnacentral:rRNA from 1 species
UACAGAGGUCUCGAGCGUUAGGCGGAAUCACUGGGCUUAAAGCGUGUGUAGGUGGACCGUUAAGUACCUUGUGAAAUCCCAUGGCUUAACCAUGGAACUGCUUGGUAUACUGGCGGUCUUGAGCCAGCUAGGGGCUACCGGAACAAAUGGUGGAGCGGUGAAAUGCGUAGAUAUCAUUUGGAACGCCAAUGGUGAAAACAGGUAGCUGGGGCUGUGCUGACACUGAGACACGAAAGCCAGGGGAGCAAACGGG